GGAGAGCGGCUUCGAAGAUGCCGAGAGUUCCGACGUGGCAAACUCCGUGGUGCGCUUCAUCAACCACUUCGUGGACAAAGCGUGCAACGAGAGCGGUGUGACCAACGAGCACCGUAAGGGCCUCCACACCAUGAUGCCAGACAUCGUUCAGAUGCACAUCGAGACGGUGGAAGCAGUCCACCCCCCUCAAAUUGCUUGUACGUGUAGUUGAGGAACACCCAAUCCUUCGACUUGAAGUCCGGCUCCGUGGCGUUGGCUGUAGAUGAACACAUGAUAAGAGGAGGUGUUAAUAUUCUGCCACCUGAAGGGCAGUGCAUCGUGUGAAUGGAAAGGCUGCACCCUCACCCUGCUCUUGAUUGCAAUGGAGAUGGCUGCAGGACGCUCCCUGUGGGGACGAGAUGCAGAAAUCACAAGCAUUAAACUCGUGCUUUUGAGUUGAGCUAAAUAAUGGCAUUUUCCUUAAAUUACAUUACAUGUCAUUUAGCUGACGCUUUUAUCCAAAGCGACUUACAGUAAGUGCAUUCGACCAUAGCGAUGCAAACUCAGAAGAUCAAGAAACAAGUGCAAUUUCCUCUAAUAAGCCAAUUUACAAUUUGCUAUAGAUAAGUGACGUUACAAGUACAAUUUAAGUGCUACAAUUUGUUAGUCUUUUAGUCGAGGUAGAGUCUGAAGAGCUUGUGUGUCUUUAGUCUGAAGAUGUGAAGGCUCUCUGUGGUCCUGGUGUCUUCAGAAAUUGCUUUGACUAAAUUGUCGGCUGAUCUUCAAAUCAUGUUUUCAAGCAUCGUUAUUUUUCUUUCUUUGCUCAUUGAUGGACUGUUUGUUGUGUGCAGAGAUACAUCGCUGUCAACAGUACUGAGCACAGUUUCUAGGCCUGCUGUCUUUUUGUGGUUGGAAAUAAAAUGUCAAAUUUGGCUCGACAGAAACAAGACCAACAAGCAGCAGAUUCUGUUUCUAUACAUUUAUUCCUUGAUUUGUAAACAGUAGCCAUAUGUUGUUAUUUUGCAGCCUUUCAGAGGCUACAUAUUGGAAACGUUAUGUUGUAUGUGAUGCUGUGGAAAGAAUAUAUCCUACCCUGUUGUCCUCCUGUGUGCCCCACUAAGAAACUGAAGACGUGGAAAGAAUGGCUCCCUUGGGUGCUGUUGUAAAACUGGAAGAGGCUGGAGAAGGUGCGCCUGUUGUCGGACGUGUCGGCGAAGAUGGCGUCCUGAAAGUUGACGCCGUGGGGGAGGAUGUUUUGGUUCUCAUCCAUCCUGCAGAGGAGAUUGUCCAGAAGAAACUGUGAGGAGGGAGCUGAAGCGGCCGAGGGAAUUAUUGGUGUUUUGGCUGACAUUGUAGCAAAUGAAGUAUGUUUUUGCAAAUGUCAUAGGCCGAUGCAUUUAUGUUUAAAUGAGCCUUUUUGCUUUGCGGGUAAAAUGUUCCUUUGCAAAACAACUCGCACCGCGAUCAAAUAUUCAGAAGAUAAAAAUCUCAAGUCUCCCCUGCUGGAAAUACUCUUGGCAUACCAAAUAUUUAUAUUUAACCAUUGCUUAUAGAACUGAUCAGUGCUCCAAAACAAACGGACAAAUGAAUAUAACUUUUAGUUGCUAUUCAGCGUAAUGGUCUUAAUAGUGACAACAAUUAAACGUCUAUAAACUGUUAAAAUAAUGUUUAGAGUCCAAAAGAGUGUUGGUACUUGCAUUAGGUUCUGCACUUACACACCUAAGGAAGAAGAAGUAGGAGUAGUUCUCCAUCACGGUGUGGGACUGGCAGGACAGGAACCCCAGUCCGGUCAGGUUGAGCCUCGACCCAGAAGGCACCUCCAGCACGCUGCCCCAGGCCUGAUCGCACAGCAACUCCACCUCCGCUGUGUACAGCAGCCCUUCCUCCGCGCCCUCGUACCCGAACCCGAACCCGAAGAUGCGAAGUUUCUCGUUGAAACGAGUUGAAUCUGCGUGUAGUCAACCAGUGUUGCUGACGCACUCCCAUUGGCCACAAAUGAUUUAUUUAUAUUCAUAAAAUACCUUUUCUUCUAAUGUUACGCUUGCAUCACAGACAAAUGUUUUCUAUCAUAUUAGCGUUCUGUUGCGUCUGCUUUUACUUUGAAAAUCUAACGCGCGUACUUCCGAUUUAACUGCUGCGCUUCGUAUUUUUUUUUAUUACGUUAGGUAAAGAAUGCAUGAAUUGAUUUAACACAGACCUCAUACAGCUACUUAACAAUUCAACGUCACGUUUGAUUGCUAUGUUUUGGUCUAGUUUUGUUUUUUAAUUAGCCCGCUGGCGGUGAUGCUAACGUUAGCUGACGUCCUCCAGUCCAUUCGAACACACACAAAGUAAAUCGUCAGCGACGAAUAGCGAUGUCCAGAUUGCACCUUCUUUCACAGCUGAGAAAACGUCCGAUCCAUCUAACUUCUUUAGUUGUGACGCAUUUUGUAAUGACGAUAAUCGCUCUGACAGUAUAUCAGCUGUCAGUCGGUGACGCAGUCGUCGCCUAGCAACCGUUGCACGUCAUCGCAUUUAUCCUUUGAUGUGUAACAUCUGGUCAUAACUUGAAGCUAUAAAUAUAGGUAAGAGGAGGUCGAGAAGUGCUUUAGUAAACAGGAAUCGAGUAGAAACAUCACAGACAGGGAAGAUGGAGGACUCAGAAUACAGCGUGAAGCCAUUUAUUGAGUCCUUUUUCAACAGUGUGACUCCAGGACAGUUUGAACUGUUGAGAAAUGGCACCCCAGACAGCACCACCAAAGUGCGGUUGGCCGACAUGAUAUUAAACA